rnacentral:lncRNA from 1 species
GGGCAGUCUGACAAAAUGGUGUCUGACAUGGAAGUGUGGAUGAAGCAAAGGUGUGUCACUGACUUCCUUCAUGUGGAAAAAAUGCCACCCACUGACAUUCAUCAGUGCUUGCUGAAUGCUUAUGGAGACCAAAAAGUGGAGAGCAUGUUCCCUAGCCUCACAGACCUCAGAUCUGUAGUUGAAGCACUGGAGCUGAAACCGUAUCAUUGGCACUGGGACAACUAGGCUGGACUUGGAUAAUUCCGGAAUCCUCACUGCAAGACCUGAUACAUCUUCUCAGAUGGGACAGUUAAGCAGUUUCACUGUUACUUGCUCUCCUUCUUCCCUAUUCCCCUGUGGUUGAUUCACACAAAAAUAAAUUAUCUUCAUCAGCUAUACUUUUCAUGCACAGCUCUUGGUCUAGGCUGCUGG